rnacentral:rRNA from 1 species
UGAGGAAUAUUGGGCAAUGCCCGCAAGGGUGACCCAGCAACGCCGCGUGGAGGAUGAAUGUCGUAAGAUUGUAAACUCCUGUUAGAGGGGAAGAAUAGUACCGGUUGGACCGGUAUAUGACUGUACCCUCAGAGAAAGCCCCGGCUAACUACGUGCCAGCAGCCGCGGUAAUACGUAGGGGGCAAGCGUUGUCCGGAUUUACUGGGUGUAAAGCGUGCGUAGGUGGUUGUUUAAGUCUGAUGUGAAAGCCCUGGGCUCAACCUGGGAAUGGCAUUGGAAACUGGGCAGCUAGAGUGCGGUAGAGGGUAGUGGAAUUCCCGGUGUAGCAGUGAAAUGCGUAGAGAUCGGGAGGAACAUCUGUGGCGAAGGCGACUGCCUGGACCAGCACUGACACUGAGGCACGAAAGCGUGGGGAGCAAACA